rnacentral:lncRNA from 1 species
GAUAUGCUUGAUCUUUGGCUUGGAGGGUAUUGGCAACUGAGAACUUCCGCUUCAUCUGACAAUUGUACUACAUGCGCAGCCGCCCUACGAAUUUCAUUGAUUAAACUGCCGAGAUGCAUAUCCUUUUCUUGGAGGGCUCUCUCAUAGGCGCGAAUGUCUCUGUCAUGCUGACCAUUCUUGUCUUCUAAAGCCCUCAAGAGGUCAUUCAAAUAUUGUUGAUGAGCUUGCAGUGUACUCUCUAAACUUCAAAUUUUUCCUUUUAGCUCUUGAUGCUCAGACUGACUAGCUGUUAGUUCUGCAGUCACAGCUUCGUGUUCAACACUCUUCUUCCUCAACUCUAUCAUAGCACGUGCAGCUCUUUCCUCUUCUUUCUUCGCUUUGGCUUUCCAGAAUUCCAUCCCACCUUUGAUAAUGCUUAGUUCCUCCUUCCAUUCUGCUGAUGCUUUGCCCAAUCCACUAUUUCUUAUAGUGCCUCUUAAUUUCUUGUUUUUCCAAAUGAAGGUCCCUUAAAUCCUUUCUCGUAACUUCAACAUCUUUUUGGACUUUUUCGGUUCUGGAUUUUUCAAUUUUGACAUCAAUCUUCAACUGGUAGUUCUCCUCUUGGAGAGAACUAAUAUCUCGCAACAGUUUGGCUUUUUCACGUUCAAAUUCAUGUCUUGCAAUUUCUAGCUCGGAUGGAAUUUUCUCUAAGAACGGAUUCUGGCAAGCUUCAUCAAUCGAUGGGGUUACUUGACUCUUCACUCGUCGUUGCCUCCAUAGGUCAUAGUCUACAGUGAUAGUAUCAGCAUAGAGAGCUAAUUCCAUUAGGUAGAUUUGCCUCUAAGAAUUCGCAGUAUCUCGAACCUUUUUCAUGUAACCCUCACCCAUAAAGGCAAACUCCGAUUGUGCCAAUCCAUUGGUAACUGGUACAAACUGUCGCGAAGUGAACUGUCUUUGAACCAACAAUGGAGCAUAUCCAACUCCUCCCCAUAAUCCUAGUAAAGGCAUCCAGUCUUGGUUUCCACACUUGUAUAAUAAGACAGAGGGACGAAUCCAAGGUGCUCUCCAAGUUAUAUCUUCGGCACGGAGGUUCUGAAAAACUGAGACCCAGUGUUGUUCAGUGACAUCCUUCGGCCAAUCUUUUUCAAGGUGUGCUUCCAACGGGGN